GAGCUAUUUCUAAGCAGUCCAAAGGACGCACCCUUCUAUGUAGCAAAAUAGUGGGAAGACUUAAAAAUAGAGGUGAAACGCCUACCGAACCCGGAGAUAGCUGGCUGCCCAAAAAUGAAUCUAAGUUCUACUUUGGAUACAAACGUUAGCUAACCAACCAUCCAAAGACAGCCAACAGGGGUACAGCUCUAUUGGCCCAGGAUACAACCUGAACUUGCAAGAAACUACUCCACCUUUAACCCGUAGGCCCUCAAGCAGCCACCCCAAAAAAUAUCGUCAAAGAAUUAAUCAAAAAUAAACCCAAACCACCAAAAAACUUCAAGUAUACUGAGGGCGGACCUACACAUGUAGGUAUCAUUAUGCUAAAACUAAUAAUAAGAUAACAUCUCUUUAACGCACCCCUCCACUAGAAACGGAAAAUCCACUAGUCAUUAACAGACCACAAAAGGCAAACAACCAACCCAUACACACCUUAUAGACCAACUGUGACCCCGACACAGGAACGUUAAAAAGAAAGAUUAACCGUUAUAAAAGGAACUCGGCAACCAAGGACCCCAACUGUUUAACAAAAACAUAACCUUUAGCCCAGACCAGUAUUAAAGGCAACGCCUGCCCAGUGAGUAUUAAACGGCCGCGGUAUCCUAACCGUGCAAAGGUAGCAUAAUCAUUUGUCUAUUAAUUGUAGACCCGUAUGAAUGGCAAAAUGAGGGCCCAACUGUCUCUUAUAACAAAUCAAUUAAACUGAUCUCCUAGUACAAAAGCUGGAAUACCAACAUAAGACCAGAAGACCCUGUGAAGCUUUAACGAACCUAUUAAACCUAGUAAUACCUACUUUCGGUUGGGGCGACCUUGGAACAAAAAAGAACUUCCAAUAUAUGACUUCAUCAUAAAACAGGCAGACAAGCCAAUACCAGAUCCAGUAUAACUGAUUAUCGAAACAAGUUACUCCAGGGAUAACAGCGCCAUCUUCUUCAAGAGCCCAUAUCAAAAAGAAGGUUUACGACCUCGAUGUUGGAUCAGGACAUCCAAGUAAUGCAGCCGUUACUAAAGGUUCGUUUGUUCAACG
rnacentral:rRNA from 1 species